rnacentral:lncRNA from 1 species
GGCACAUAGAUCUCUUACUUACAUUUUUUGUUAAAACUUCCUUUUUUUCCCCCUGGUAUCAAAAUAGUUAUCUUUUUAAAAUACCUUGUUAAAGUCUAAUAGUUACAUUGUUAUAUAUUAAAUACUCUCCUAAAAUAGCAAUCAUUUCUCUUCCAUCUCUCCUAGAACCUUGUCUUACCAUAACUAUCAUUUUUUUCUUUUAUUAUUUGUUUCUGUUUUUGUUUUGGCAUCUUUUAAAUUUAUGCACAGAAGCAUUAAAGGAAAAGAUUUCCCUUGUAAGCCCACCAUUUAAAAACAAAGAAAGAAAGAAAAAGAAAAAGCCAGUGACAAUAUUUGACAUGACACUGGAUUCAUUUAGCACAGGCACUCAGACCAUGACCUUAUUUAAACAAAAUCAUCAGUUCGUGCCUAGAAAUAGUAAUGUUGACCCAACAUCGCCCUCUAGUGGCAAGGCUAUAUCAAAGCACCCAACAAUACAAUAGGGUAUGUACAGUAUUUGGACGGUAUUUGAACAGGAGGCGCUCAGAGUCCAGUUACAGAGAUCAAACACAUUUUUCUUUCACAGGUUACAAGACAACUGGAGUCCUGAAAAUUCACUCUGAACACAGACUGCCCUCAGCUACUCCCUGCAAAUUCCCAUCCCCUCAGCUUCACACGGUACUGAAAUGCUCCAUCAGAAGCUGGACUCUGGUAGGGUUUUCUUGCGCCCUAAGGAAAGAGUGUGGUAUUUCACCCUCUGCAAGGUGCCAUAAGAAGUCUGCUCCCCGGGAACACUCUUCUGUGAGAAGCUGGUGGCACUGGGUCUUGGGAACCUGCUGGCCUUGCGGGGGAGGUGGAUCGAGCUGGGCGCAGACCGGACAUCCCUCUCGAGGCGGCCGCUGAGGCUCUCUGGCCAGGCCCUCGGGAAUCCUGAGUGCAGGAGAGGAGCCUGGAGCCUGUUUGUCCACAGCAGGGCUCAGCCGGCCACUCCCCAGGGAGCCGGAGGCCCUGUCUGGCUUCCGGCUCUCCUUCUUCCAAAACACAGACCUCAGCAGGGUGAACGUGCUUUGUGGGAGUCUGUCCUUCUCGGAGGCCCUCUCCUCCGCUGCAGCCCUCACCUUGGGUAAGGUCCCUUGGCCACUGUCCUGACAGUUUCUAGACAAAACCUACGGAGGGGGACGGUGGGCUGCUCUGGCUUCCCUUCCAGCUGGAGGUCUUCUGGCCCUCUGGGCGGGCUGGCUUCUCAUUCCCAAGGGAGGGCAUCACAGUGAGGGGCAGGUCAAACUUUUUGGGAAGCCGGAUAUCCUGACUUGCAUUUUCCUUCCGUGUCCUGGUUGUGUUUAGAACAUCAGAGUUUCCAGUGGCCGGGGGGUGGUCUGGGGGGCCUGAGGGACGGGGCACCCUCCCAUUAGCUUGGCCACUGUCUUCAACAGAAAGGGUACCAUGUGACCUGGGAGAUGCUGACUUCUCAUCCCCUCCAGCCGAGCCAGUCAGCAGUGGCACAAUGGACUGGCUGGUAGUUCGACGAGGUCUGCGUCUGGACUCCAGGUACUCCACCAACUCCACAGAUGCACCAGGUCGCUUCUCCCUGUGCCCGAAGGACCACCGGAGGGGCAUGGUCUUAAAGGGCCCCUGGCUGGCUCGGGAUGCGGUGGGCACCUUCAUGCUAAUGCUUCUGCUGCAGGCACCCCCAACCAGAGGCCUGGACUCCAACCCUCCUGAAAGAGACACCAAGACCAUUAGCACCCAAAUAACCCUCCAGCUGCAACAGAAAUUCCCAGUCCUCCUCACUGUACCAUUACAGUGUCUUGAUUUACACAUGUCUACAACCAUUGAGGAAGAAAUCUUCAACUGAAAUCUACAAGCUACACGGCACAAGGACAGUCACAUGCAUUUGGAGAGAAGCUGUUGGUCAACCACCCAAGCCUGUCACCCACAGCUGGCUGCUAUCAACAUGCUAUUUCACCGUAAAACAUGAGUGUUACAAACUGAUGGUUAUGUUCCCUUCAAUUCAUAUGUUAAAAUUUGAAUCCCCAAGAGGAUGGUAAAGAAGUGAGGGCCUCUGGAAGGUGAUCAGACUAUGAAGGUGGAUCCCUCAAAACAGGCAAAAAACCCCACAAAACUUGACCACACUGGCAACUGAUCUCAGAUGUCCAGAACAGUGAGGAACAAAUUCCUGCUGUUGACAAUCCACCCACUCUACAGCCAUCCAAAGGGCUGCAACAGAGAGGAACUCCAGGAAUGAGUAAGGACCACUGCCACUAAAAGCCCUC